rnacentral:tRNA from 1 species
GGAGAGGUGGCUGAGUGGUCGAAAGCGGCACACUGCUAACGUGUUGUAUCCGCAAGGGUACCGCGGGUUCGAAUCCCGCCCUCUCCGCCA